rnacentral:rRNA from 1 species
UACAGAGGGUGCGAGCGUUGUCCGGAAUCACUGGGCGUAAAGGGCGCGUAGGUGGCUUGCCAAGCGUGUGGUGAAAGCCCGGAGCUCAACUCCGGGUCUGCCAUGCGAACUGGCAGGCUAGAGCACGGUAGAGGCCAAUGGAAUUCCGGGUGUAGCGGUGGAAUGCGUAGAGAUCCGGAAGAACACCGGUGGCGAAGGCGGUGGCUGGGCCGUUGCUGACACUGAUGCGCGACAGCG